rnacentral:rRNA from 1 species
CCAACAAGCCGAUAAUCGGUACGGGUUGUGAGAGCAAGAGCCCGGAGAUGGAUUCUGAGACACGAAUCCAGGUCCUACGGGGCGCAGCAGGCGCGAAAACUUUACACUGCGCGAAAGCGCGAUAAGGGGACCUCGAGUGCGUGCGCAAAGCGUACGCUUUUCAGAUGCCUAAAAAGCAUCUGGAAUAAGGGCCGGGCAAGACCGGUGCCAGCCGCCGCGGUAACACCGGCGGCUCAAGUGGUGGCCGCUAUUAUUGGGCUUAAAGGGUCCGUAGCCGGACCAGUUAGUCCCUUGGGAAAUCUUACGGCUUAACCGUAAGGCUGCCAAUGGAUACUGCUGGUCUUGGGACCGGGAGAGGCAAGAGGUACCUCAGGGGUAGGAGUGAAAUCCUGUAAUCCUUGAGGGACCGCCAGUGGCGAAGGCGUCUUGCUAGAACGGGUCCGACGGUGAGGGACGAAAGCUAGGGGCACGAACCGGAUUAGAUACCCGGGUAGUCCUAGCCGUAAACGAUGCGAGCUAGGUGUCACGUGGAUUGCGAAUCCAUGUGGUGCCGAAGGGAAACCGUGAAGCUCGCCGCCUGGGAAGUACGGCCGCAAGGCUGAAACUUAAAGGAAUUGGCGGGGGAGCAC